rnacentral:tRNA from 1 species
GGAAAGUAAUCGUAUCCGGUGGUACGGCCGGGCUUCAACCCCGGUUGGGGGUGUCAGACAUUCCCGGGUAGGUUCGACUCCUGCUACUUUCCGCCA